CCAACACCCAACACCCACCACCGCCGUGCAUACACACCAUCAUCCUCUAGUUUUCGAAAACCCAAGACUCCUACGGCGACAUCGCGACCAACCCCUCCAUCCGUGUAGUCGCCAGAAUCGGUCCAAACGUCUGCUACUACGGCGGCGUUUAUUGCGCCCCAUUCCCAACCAACCCUUCCAUCCGCAUAGUCACCGGAAUCGACCUCAACCACGGUGACAUCGCCGGUUACCUCCCGUCAGAGCUCGGCCUGUUAACCGAUCUAGCCCUGUUGCACUCUCUCCCUCUCAACUCUCUCUCAUCCCUCUUUCUCUCUCUCAAACACCCAACUCUAGUACCACCACUACCACCAAAUCAUCCUAAAAUCAACCCCCUUAACAACAAAUAUCCCACACCAAACAAUCAUUAUGUGUUAACCUUCAGUUACUUCUUCUUAAAGUUUCUUUUUCGACUUACACAUGAACCAAACCAUUUCUUUAGAAAAAACGAGGAAAAAGACUCAUAAACAUCCAAUACACAGAUUAUUAUGUCAGAUAAGCAGCCACAGAAGUCUUCAGGGUUAGUGACAUCGUAUUUAUAAGAAAAGUGCACACGGUGCCUCACCUUCUUGGCGAUAGACAGCUCCGAUUCCAACUGUUUGAUGUAAUUCAAAGCUUC